CGAUAUGUGGUAAUUUGGAUGACAUAAUUAACUUUGUAAUCUCAUCCAUCUUAUCAUUUAUCAAA
rnacentral:pre_miRNA from 1 species